rnacentral:rRNA from 1 species
UACGUAGGGUGCAAGCGUUGUCCGGAAUUAUUGGGCGUAAAGAGCUCGUAGGCGGUUUGUCGCGUCUGCUGUGAAAAUCCAGGGCUUAACCCUGGACCUGCAGUGGGUACGGGCAGACUGGAGUGCGGUAGGGGAGACUGGAAUUCCUGGUGUAGCGGUGAAAUGCGCAGAUAUCAGGAGGAACACCGGUGGCGAAGGCGGUUCUCUGGGCCUGUACUGACGCUGAGGAGCGAAAGCGUGGGGAGCGAACAGG